CGUAUUUUUAAGGAAGGGUCCCCAGGGGACUGUCGCCUGGGAAGCGGGAGGCUAGAGGGGGAGGCGGAUCCCCGAGACGGGCCCUGCUCCUUUCCACGGUGUCCCCUCUGGUUUUCCAGUCCUCCACGGUGGGCGCAGACGAUUGGAAGCCCCGCAGCGCGCUGGCUCCCAGGUCCUGCUUUCGCUUUACGGCGCAAUUGAGUACCUGUCUUCCCUGGACAAACUAUCAAACCAGAAUGAAAACACGCAUGCUGCCUUUCUUUUGGUAUACAUCGGAGAAGAAAUUGAAGUAGCUUGAACCCCUGUUGCCUUGCCCUAUUGUGUCUAAAUAUCCUACUUUCAAUAAAUCUUUAUCAAAAAAAGGAAUAAAAGAAUGAUUUUAUUAUCAUAGUGAAUUAAUUGAGUAAAACUAGGUAACUAUUAAAAGCCUUCUGUUUAGGUAGUGUUAUGUUUAAUUAUAAGGAAUACUAAAUUGCCUUGGUACAAAUUACUAGCUUUUAUUUACAUGCACUAGUUCUCAUUAAAUUAUUUAGAUACCAAAAAAUUAAUACCAGACUCCAGAACAGAAAGUACUUAAUCUUUCUCCAGUCUUCAUUUCUUUGCUCUGAAGCAAAAGAGUAUGUAUCCUUAAGUAACUAUAUUUUUAUAGGUCUACAUCCAGAUACAUUGUGCUGUAAUGCAGGUUUUAAAUUUUUACUUUAGUGGUUUCAUUUAGUAUGUAUUAUUCUGUAUCUUCUUUUUUUUUUUCUAACCCAACAUUUGUGUACUUUAGAUCUAUCCCUGUUGAUAAAUUAUCCAUCCAUUUCAAGUGGUCAAACUGUUGUGUAGUAUUUAAUUGUGAAUGUACCUUUAUAUAUCCAUUCUUCUAAUGAUGGACUUAAAACAUUUUUUUUUGGACUUAAAACAUUUUAAAAUCAAAAGCAAGAUUAAAACUAUCUAGAAAGCAAUAAGAAAAUUUCCGUUUAAUUGGCCAACAUUGGUAUUUAGAGGAAAAUGGAUACUAAGUAAAUACUUUCAUUAAGUAAAAAAAAAAAAAAAAAGGAAUUGAAUACUCAUAUUUAGGGAUUAAGAAAAUAAAACCAAAACCAAGUAGGACAUGGAAAUUAAAGAUAAAACUGUAAUUAAUGGAGUUGGAAACAACAGAACAAAAAUAGUGGAAAGGAUAAAUUGCAAAGCUGAUUCUUUGCAAAGCUCAAUGAACUAGAUAAAAAGGAAUGAGAAAGGAAACAGCAAAGACACAUGUAUAGGAGAGAUUGAUGGAAUGUUAUGCAGAUUUUU